ACUCCUACGGGAGGCAGCAGUGGGGAAUAUUGCACAAUGGGCGCAAGCCUGAUGCAGCCAUGCCGCGUGUGUGAAGAAGGCCUUCGGGUUGUAAAGCACUUUCAGUAAGGAGGAAAGGUUAGUAGUUAAUACCUGCUAGCUUGUGACGUUACUUACAGAAGAAGCACCGGCUAACUCCGUGCCAGCAGCCGCGGUAAUACGGAGGGUGCGAGCGUUAAUCGGAAUUACUGGGCGUAAAGCGCAUGCAGGUGGUUUGUUAAGUCAGAUGUGAAAGCCCGGGGCUCAACCUCGGAAUUGCAUUUGAAACUGGCAGACUAGAGUACUGUAGAGGGGGGUAGAAUUUGCAGGUGUAGCGGUGAAAUGCGUAGAGAUCUGAAGGAAUACCGGUGGCGAAGGCGGCCCCCUGGCACAGAUACUGACACUCAGAUGCGAAAGCGU
rnacentral:rRNA from 1 species